GGGGGAAAUUCCCCCCUGGUUGAGAACCCCUGCUCUAUACCAUAGUUAUUGUGGGAUAUGUCCACUUGGGGUUAAUCUUGAAGCCUUACAAAUUAUUGAAGCAACCACUGUCUGAGGGACUUCAAGCUUUCUAUCAACACUAAUUCACUGGCUGUGGAGUUGUUUGUCAGAUUUACAUUAAUCUAAAUGGACAGGUAAACCAAGCCCUGGAGCAUGUCAAGCUGGGGUGGCCUAGUCAGGUGGUGAUUCAGAGUAGGUAACUACUUCUGGUGGUGCUUCAGGGUAGGUAUGUACUUCUGGUGGUGCUUCAGGGUAGGUAUGUACUUCUGGUGGUGCUUCAGGGUAGGUAUGUACUUCUGGUGGUGCUUCAGGGUAGGUAUGUACUUCUGGUGGUGCUUCAGGGUAGGUAGGUACUUCAGGUGGUGCUUCAGGGUAGGUAUGUACUUCUAGUGGUGCUUCAGGGUAGGUAGGUAGGUACUUCAGGUGGUGUUUCAUGGUAGGUGCAACUGAUGGUGCUUCAGGGUAGGUGCCACAGGUCACACUCAGUGAUAACCUGUAGACUAUAAAAUCAGGGUUAGUUGGAAAACAAAAACAAGAUUGAUUUAUCUUUACUUGUCAAUUCAGAAAAUAUUACACAUUUAGGGGCAUGCAGUAACAUUGGCUUAUACUGUAUAGUAUACUGUACGUAUGUGGAUUUUUCCCUGAUGAAUUCUCUGGUACAUCAAGAGGGGAGGGGGCAGAACAUAUGGUUUGUGUGUGUCUGUCUAUCUUAAUUUGCAAUCAGAGUUAAUGUAUGUACAAAUUAAAAUUCUGUCAGAUUUCAACAGAAUUUCACACAGGAUGGUACAAAUUUAAUUAGAAUUUUAGUUUAUCAUUUCACCACUUAUCAUCUUACUAGCUGUUGGAGGGGUUGGUUGGGUCUUUGCUACUUUUGUUAUGAACUUUACUGUCCAGUGUUAGUACUGUACAGGAAGAAACCGGAGUACCUGGAAAAAACCUGUGAUGUUUGGUGUUUUAUAGGAAUUUCAGGAAUUUAGUCCGUCUCUCAAGUCAGGGUUCCUUGGAGUUAAUUUAUGGAUACUAUAUACUGUACAUAGUUGGUAUUGAAAAGCUAAACUUCAAAAGUACAAAUAUGUACAGUAGUAGAGGCUGUAGUGAGUAGGUCCAUCAACUGAAUUACAGUGUGCAGACAUUGUCUCAGGCAGUCUGUAAAGUGGCAGACCAUGAAGUAAGCUAAAGCGAUGAAGAGAUAACUAAUCUCACUGUUUCUACUGUAUGUCCUUAAUCCAAAAUGAGUGAGCAGAGCAACCCUGGAUUAUUUUGGGGGGAUGAUAGGGAGACCAGUCCCAUAGUACUCAGCCUGGGGGUACAGGUGUACCCCAAUAGCCAAUGCAUAUAGGGACUGGGAAAGGUCUUUGGUUAGUGAAUCAAUGCGGUUAGGGAUCGGCCACCGUCCAAAAACUCCUAUGUACCCUUGAUAUAUCUCUGUAUUGCACAGUGUAAAGAAAGACAAUAAAGCAGACAUAUAAAACAUUCAUAAUACCGGGUAAGCCUUAAAUAAGCAAUGUAAAGCAUAAAUUGAGACUGUUAUUUACCUGUGUUGAGGAUGGUAGAGUUGGUCUAGGGUAACAAGUUCAAGUCCUGACCACUCUUUGCUAGUCCAUCACCACUCUUAUUAGGCCUUAUUAAGCUUUAUUACAUUACAUCAGGCUGCCCAGCACAAGAGGAACGAUCAGUGGGGCAUUUAGGCAUGAUUGAGUAACACACUAAGUCGAAAAUAGCAACAACAACAACAAAAAGUCAGAGACACAUAGUAAGAACAUAAGAACAUUGAUGGUGGGAAUGUGUCAGGGUAGUGCACAGAGCCCUCUGGUGGCAAGAAUUAGCACCAUGUCACCACCCACCAAAUUCAAAACAGCUUUGCUGCUCCUCUCCUGAUCGUCAGAUCUCCGGAGUAUCAACAUAAUUUGCAGUGUACAGUAUUUCCCUUUUUCUGUAAUUGUUGGUUAUGCAAAUUUGCAGUCAACAGGAUGUCAGUUUUCGGGGUACAGCUGUGCUCGUAAUGCACAUCUCUCUCAAACAGACCAACCACCCCAGUGGCCAGUAGAAAAUGAGAUGUCAGGGUCAAUCUUGUAAUCUUUGAUUACCUGUUUCUUCAGUAAGUACUGGAUAUGAAUUAGUUACAGGUAUGAUUUUAAAUUAAUUUUGUAAUUAAGAUUAGGGUUUUGUAAAAGAAAAUUUUGUGUACAGUAUGUGUGUCAUAUGUUGCAUCUUAUUUUGAAUAGAUAAAUUAGGUUUCUGAAAGUUAUACAAAUUAUCUUGAAUGUAGGCUUUGGAAUUUUCUUAUUAGGUACAGUGUGCUUUGAAGAAUAAAUAUAGUAUUGCAGUUUAAUGUAUUUCCUUAAUGAAAGGUUCUACAUUUAAGAACACUUUCUUACUAUAGCAUACAACAUUUUUCACUUAAUGUUUAUGUAGAUUGAAUUAUUUAUUUGCCCAUUACAGUAUUAAUAUUUUUCUUCAUAUUCAAUUCAUGUACUGUAUCAGUACAGUGGUGUAAUUAUGGAGUGAGAAUGUUCUCUGUCCUACUUAAUAGAACUAAACAAUAAAUAGAUUAGUUCUCCAGCAUCACAAAUUGAUGUUGCUUCCAAGUACAUAUAAUAUAUACAGUAUUGUGAUAUAUAAUAAAUUUUGUUUAUUGUGAAUAAUUUUAAUAAAAUAUAUAGAAAUGGUUUCA